GACGAACGCUGGCGGCGUGCUUAACACAUGCAAGUCGAACGGAAAGGCCCCUUUGGGGGUACUCGAGUGGCGAACGGGUGAGUAACACGUGAGUAACCUGCCCUUGACUUCGGGAUAACUUCAGGAAACUGGGGCUAAUACCGGAUAGGAAUCCUUGCUGCAUGGUGGGGGUUGGAAAGCUUCGGCGGUUUUGGAUGGACUCGCGGCUUAUCAGCUUGUUGGUGGGGUAGUGGCUUACCAAGGCUUUGACGGGUAGCCGGCCUGAGAGGGCGACCGGCCACAUUGAGACUGAGAUACGGCCCAGACUCCUACGGGAGGGAGCAGUGGGGAAGAUUGCAGAAUGGGCGGAAGCCGGAUGCAGCAACGCCGCGUGCGGGAUGACGGCCUUCGGGUUGUAAACCGCUUUCGGCAGGGGCGAAGCUUGUGGUGACGGUACCUGCAGAAGAAGCACCGGCUAACUACGUG
rnacentral:rRNA from 1 species